AACGAACGCUGGCGGCAUGCCUAACACAUGCAAGUCGAACGAGACCUUCGGGUCUAGUGGCGCACGGGUGCGUAACGCGUGGGAAUCUACCCUUGGGUUCGGAAUAACAGUUAGAAAUGACUGCUAAUACCGGAUGAUGACGUAAGUCCAAAGAUUUAUCGCCCAAGGAUGAGCCCGCGUAAGAUUGCUUGUUGGUGGGGUAAUGGCCUACCAAGGCGACGAUCUUUAGCUGGUCUGAGAGGAUGAUCAGCCACACUGGGACUGAGACACGGCCCAGACUCCUACGGGAGGCAGCAGUGGGGAAUAUUGGACAAUGGGCGAAAGCCUGAUCCAGCAAUGCCGCAUGAGUGAUGAAGGCCUUAGGGUUGUAAAGCUCUUUUACCAGGGAUGAUAAUGACAGUACCUGGAGAAUAAGCUCCGGCUAACUCCGUGCCAGCAGCCGCAGUAA
rnacentral:rRNA from 1 species